UACGAAGGGGGCUAGCGUUGUUCGGAAUCACUGGGCGUAAAGGGCGCGUAGGCGGCCUGAUAAGUCGGGGGUGAAAGCCUGUGGCUCAACCACAGAAUUGCCUUCGAUACUGUUAGGCUUGAGACCGGAAGAGGUAAGUGGAACUGCGAGUGUAGAGGUGAAAUUCGUAGAUAUUCGCAAGAACACCAGUGGCGAAGGCGGCUCACUGGCCCGUUACUGACGCUGAGGCACGAAAGCGUGGGGAGCAACAGGAUAGAUAC
rnacentral:rRNA from 1 species